ensembl:snoRNA U3 Small nucleolar RNA U3
AAGACUAUUCUUUCAGGGAUCAUUUCUAUAGUAUGUUACUAGAGAGUUUUCUCUGAAUGUGUAGAGCACCCGACACCGCGAAGAAGAGGCAUAGCAUCCUUUCCUGAGCGUGAAGCCGGCUCUUGGUAUUACUUCAAUAACUGCCACUUGCCAUUGAUGGUCAUUGUUCUCUUCCACCUCGGGGAGUGAGAGAGUGAGGAUGACGUCUGAGUAGU